rnacentral:misc_RNA from 1 species
UCAAACUUGGUCAUUUAGAGGAAGUAAAAGUCGUAACAAGGUCUCCGUUGGUGAACCAGCGGAGGGAUCAUUACAGAGUAUAAAACUCCCAACCCUAUGUGAACUUACUAUAUUGUUGCCUCGGCGGGUCCUAUUCCUCGCGGUCUAGGAUCUAGCCCGCCGAAGGUAUAUUUUAAAUACUUGAAUUUAUUUGCAAUCUGAGUGGCUUUUAUAAAUAAGUCAAAACUUUCAACAACGGAUCUCUUGGUUCUGGCAUCGAUGAAGAACGCAGC